rfam:Tursiops truncatus cont1.372170, whole genome shotgun sequence.
AAGAUGUGUUGGUCUUUUAGCUCUUUUGUAAUUAAAUCUGGAUGUACCUCAAAAGAAUCUUAAGACUGUGGUGAUAAGAUGCUUUCCUC